rnacentral:rRNA from 1 species
GAGUUUGAUCCUGGCUCAGAUUGAACGCUGGCGGCAUGCCUUACACAUGCAAGUCGAACGGCAGCACGGGGCAACCUGGUGGCGAGUGGCGAACGGGUGAGUAACAUAUCGGAACAUGUCCGGAAGUGGGGGAUAACGUAGCGAAAGUUACGCUAAUACCGCAUAUGCCCUGAGCAGGAAAGCAGGGGAUCGCAAGACCUUGCGCUUUAGGAGCGGCCGAUGUCGGAUUAGCUAGUUGGUGGGGUAAAGGCUCACCAAGGCGACGAUCCGUAGCGGGUCUGAGAGGAUGAUCCGCCACACUGGGACUGAGACACGGCCCAGACUCCUACGGGAGGCAGCAGUGGGGAAUUUUGGACAAUGGGCGAAAGCCUGAUCCAGCCAUGCCGCGUGAGUGAAGAAGGCCUUCGGGUUGUAAAGCUCUUUCGGCGGGGAAGAAAUCGCAUUCUCUAAUACAGGAUGUGGAUGACGGUACCCGAAUAAGAAGCACCGGCUAACUACGUGCCAGCAGCCGCGGUAAUACGUAGGGUGCGAGCGUUAAUCGGAAUUACUGGGCGUAAAGCGUGCGCAGGCGGUUUCGUAAGACAGACGUGAAAUCCCCGGGCUCAACCUGGGAACUGCGUUUGUGACUGCGAGGCUAGAGUUUGGCAGAGGGGGGUGGAAUUCCACGUGUAGCAGUGAAAUGCGUAGAGAUGUGGAGGAACACCGAUGGCGAAGGCAGCCCCCUGGGCCAAUACUGACGCUCAUGCCCGAAAGCGUGGGGAGCAACCAGGAUAAGAUACCCUGGUAGUCCACGCCCUAAACGAUGUCACCUAGGGGUUGGGAGGGUUAAACCUCUUAGUGCCGUAGCUAACGCGUGAAAGUUGACCGCCUGGGGAGUACGGCCGCAAGGCUAAAACUCAAAGGAAUUGACGGGGGCCCGCACAAGCAGUGGAGCAUGCGGUUUAAUUCGAUGUUACGCGAAAAACCUUACCAACCCUUGACAUGGUGGUCGCGGAUCGCAGAGAUGCUUUCCUUCAGUUCGGCUGGACCACACACAGGUGUUGCAUGGCUGUCGUCAGCUCGUGUCGUGAGAUGUUGGGUUAAGUCCCGCAACGAGCGCAACCCUCAUCCUUAUUUGCCAGCGAGUAAUGUCGGGAACUAUAAGGAAACUGCCGGUGAUAAGCCGGAGGAAGGUGGGGACGAUGUCAAGUCAUCAUGGCCCUUAUGGGUUGGGCUACACGCGUGCUACAAUGGUAUCUACAGAGGGAAGCAAGACAGCGAUGUGGAGCAAAUCCCUAAAAGAUAUCUCAGUUCGGAUUGCACUCUGCAACUCGAGUGCAUGAAGUUGGAAUUGCUAGUAAUCGCGGAUCAGCAUGCCGCGGUGAAUACGUUCUCGGGCCUUGUACACACUGCCCGUCACGCCAUGGGAGUUGGUUUUACCCGAAGCUGGUGAGCUGACGUAAGAGGCAGCCAACCACGGUAGAAUUAAUGACUGGGGUGAAGUCGUAACAAGGUAACCGUA